rnacentral:rRNA from 1 species
GAUGAACGCUGGCGGCGUGCCUAAUACAUGCAAGUCGAGCGAACAGACGAGGAGCUUGCUCCUCUGACGUUAGCGGCGGACGGGUGAGUAACACGUGGAUAACCUACCUAUAAGACUGGGAUAACUUCGGGAAACCGGAGCUAAUACCGGAUAAUAUAUUGAACCGCAUGGUUCAAUAGUGAAAGACGGUUUUGCUGUCACUUAUAGAUGGAUCCGCGCCGCAUUAGCUAGUUGGUAAGGUAACGGCUUACCAAGGCAACGAUGCGUAGCCGACCUGAGAGGGGACUCGCCAACCUUGGAACGGAGACACGGCCCAGACCCUAAGGGGGGGAGGCAGUGGGAAUUUUUCCGCAAGGGGGGAAAGCCUGACGGAGCAACGCCGGGGGAGGGAGGAAGGUUUUGGGUUGGAAAAACUUUUUUAUUGGGAAAAAACAAAUGUGGAUAAAACGAUGCACGUUUUACCGUUCCCUAAUAAGAAACCCCCGGUAAACUCCGG